GAUGAACGCUGGCGGCGUGCUUAACACAUGCAAGUCGAGCGAGAAGUUUUGAAAAGAUUCUUCGGAUGAAAUUUAAAAUGGAAAGCGGCGGACGGGUGAGUAACGCGUAGGCAACCUGCCCCAUACAAAGGGAUAGCAUUUGGAAACGAAUAUUAAUACCUUAUGAAACUUAACUAGUGCAUGCUAGGUAGGUCAAAGAUUUAUCGGUAUGGGAUGGGCCUGCGUCUGAUUAGCUAGUUGGUGAGGUAACGGCUCACCAAGGCGACGAUCAGUAGCCGACCUGAGAGGGUGAGCGGCCACAUUGGAACUGAGACACGGUCCAAACUCCUACGGGAGGCAGCAGUGGGGAAUAUUGCACAAUGGGGGAAACCCUGAUGCAGCAACGCCGCGUGAACGAUGAAGGCCUUUGGGUCGUAAAGUUCUGUUCUAGGUGAUGAAAACUGACAGUAACCUAGGAGAAAGCCCCGGCUAACUCCGUG
rnacentral:rRNA from 1 species